GCCAGGAUGGUAUAGUGGUCUGAGUGUUGGAUUAUGACUCUGGAGAUUAGGGUUUGAAUCCCUGCUCAGCCA
rnacentral:tRNA from 1 species